rnacentral:rRNA from 1 species
UACGUAGGGUGCAAGCGUUAUCCGGAAUUAUUGGGCGUAAAGAGCUCGUAGGCGGUUUGUCACGUCUGCUGUGAAAACUGGAGGCUCAACCUCCAGCCUGCAGUGGGUACGGGCAGACUAGAGUGCGGUAGGGGAGAUUGGAAUUCCUGGUGUAGCGGUGAAAUGCGCAGAUAUCAGGAGGAACACCGGUGGCGAAGGCGGAUCUCUGGGCCGAUACUGACGCUGAGGAGCGAAAGCGUGGGGAGCGAACAGU